UUAACUCUAACUCGGUCACCAUACGAUUAACGUCUGCAAGGAAACGAUUUCGUAGAAUGGGAUUAGUUGCUUCAUCGGCAUCCUUUCUACGUUUUUGAAUAGAAGACUCCAACUCUGAAAUAAACUCACGAACAAGUCUAUUUUGUCGUUUAUUUUCGCGAGUCUCAUCGUCAGCUUCAUUUUCCUCUUCUUCUUCUUCUUCCUCCUCUUCUUCUUCUUCACUAGCAGAUUCUUCACCUGCGGCACGAGGUUCUGCUGUUGACUCCCGAGUAUCUUGACUAAGCUCAAGCAUACCCUGUUCAAUCUGUCCAGCCAAAUCGUCCUCAUCCAUACCAUCAAACAUAUCAGUUUGCACGCUUUGGUCGUCCCGAUCGAUGCUGGUACCACGAAGUCCUGCCAUUCCAUCAAACGAUGUAUCCUCUGAAAGAGCGAUGCUUGAGUCACGAGCCAAUUGUGCUUGAUCAAUCAACUCAUUCGAUGUACUUUCAGCGCGUUCAUCCAUUGCAAGCAAUCGGUCAACCUCAUUUUCAACUGCUUCGAUUGUUCUGUUCGAAACACGUUUUCGAAAUCGCUUCUGCCGCACCCAAUGCAUUGGCGUCGUCAAUCCAUGUGGAUAAAUGUAAUCAGCUUGCUUUAACUGAGUAUUGAGAACAGAAUUUUCGUGCUCGAUUCUUUCUGUAGCUAUCAACAUUUGACAGAUGUCAGCAGCCUUGAAGAUAACUUUUUUGUCGAAUGAUUUAUUAGAUUCUAUGAUGCAUGGCAAAUCAACUAACUUCGCAGCGUACAAAUGACCAUUAACAUGAACAACCGCUCUUCUUUGAUCUAACUCUGUUAAUAAUAAUAUAGUGUAACCAAGUCAUUACCUUUGAACUUCACCCAUAUGUCUGCACCUCGUCCCACUUCCCUAUUUUCAAUUGCUUUUCGAACAUACUCACAAUCUUCACCAGGAGGAAGACGUAAUAUAAUUUGUUCUUCAAUAUAAGUGUCUUCUUCUCUGUCAGAAGCUUCUGAAUCAUAUCCUAAGCCAGGUUCGCGAACUCUUUUUAACCGAAUUUUUGUCAAUCGAGGGCCUUUAGGUUCACGUGUCUUGAUCUUAAUUUUAGGAAUUGGGGGAGGAGGACCAGUGGCUGGAGUGCUAGAUCGUGAAUCAUUUGGAGGAGGCUGAACAGCACGAAUUUUUAGCUUAACCAUUUUCGAAAACCGCCUUUUGAGUAAUUGUCGUUGGCAAACGCUCGAUUAGCAAGUCGCUAAACCUUCAAGUGAGUCUCGUUAUCUACUACUAACGAGCCAUAGUGAUUUACAACAUUUUUUUAAUACAAUCGUUAUCUGCAAACACCUGUCAGCUACGCAGUUUGGUAUCUAUUUAACGAUUCAUAGAACUGCGGUGAGUUUCUCUUGCGACCUACAGUAUAGCGGUAUGUGGUAUGUUUAACUAACAAUGUAUAUUUGUUACUAUAAGAAGUCCAUUAGUAUCGAUCACCGACAUAGCUAAACUACUGAACUGAGGAACAAGGUUCGGCAGUAG